GACGAACGCUGGCGGCGUGCUUAACACAUGCAAGUCGAACGGAAAGGCCCUGCUUUUGUGGCGUGCUCGAGUGGCGCACGGGUGAGUAACACGUGUGUAACAUGCCCUUGUAUUUGGGAUAACUUCUGGGAACUGCGGCUCAUACCGGAUAGGAGCUCCUGCUGCAUGGUGGGGGUUGGAGAGUUUCGGCGUUUGUGGCUGGACUCGAGGCGUAUUCGCUUGUUGGUGAGGUAAUGGAUUACCAAGGCUUUGACGGGUAGCCGACCUGAGAGGGUGAUCGGCCACACUGGAACUGAGACACGGUCCAGACUCCUACGGGAGGCAGCAGUAGGGAAUCUUCCGCAAUGGGCGAAAGCAUGACGGAGCAACGCCGCGUGAGUGAUGAAGGUCUUCGGAUCGUAAAACUCUGUUAUUAGGGAAGAACAACUGUGUAAGUAACUAUGCACGGCUUGACGGUACCUAAUCAGAAAGCCACGGCUAACUACGUG
rnacentral:rRNA from 1 species